ACCAUGCAGUCGAGCGGUAACAGAAAGUAGCUUGCUACUUUGCUGACGAGCGGCGGACGGGUGAGUAAUGCUUGGGAACAUGCCUUGAGGUGGGGGACAACAGUUGGAAACGACUGCUAAUACCGCAUAAUGUCUACGGACCAAAGGGGGCUUCGGCUCUCGCCUUUAGAUUGGCCCAAGUGGGAUUAGCUAGUUGGUGAGGUAAUGGCUCACCAAGGCAACGAUCCCUAGCUGGUUUGAGAGGAUGAUCAGCCACACUGGAACUGAGACACGGUCCAGACUCCUACGGGAGGCAGCAGUGGGGAAUAUUGCACAAUGGGCGAAAGCCUGAUGCAGCCAUGCCGCGUGUGUGAAGAAGGCCUUCGGGUUGUAAAGCACUUUCAGUCAGGAGGAAAGGGUGUGAGUUAAUACCUCACAUCUGUGACGUUACUGACAGAAGAAGCACCGGCUAACUCCGUGCCAGCAGCCGCGGUAAUACGGAGGGUGCGAGCGUUAAUCGGAAUUACUGGGCGUAAAGCGUACGCAGGCGGUUUGUUAAGCGAGAUGUGAAAGCCCCGGGCUCAACCUGGGAACUGCAUUUCGAACUGGCAAACUAGAGUGUGAUAGAGGGUGGUAGAAUUUCAGGUGUAGCGGUGAAAUGCGUAGAGAUCUGAAGGAAUACCGAUGGCGAAGGCAGCCACCUGGGUCAACACUGACGCUCAUGUACGAAAGCGUGGGGAGCAAACGGGAUUAGAUACCCCGGUAGUCCACGCCGUAAACGAUGUCUACUAGAAGCUCGGAACCUCGGUUCUGUUUUUCAAAGCUAACGCAUUAAGUAACCGCCUGGGGAGUACGGCCGCAAGGGUUAAAACUCAAUGAAUUGACGGGGGCCCGCACAA
rnacentral:rRNA from 1 species